GAUCGAGUGAGUGUGGUCCUCCU
rnacentral:siRNA from 1 species